rnacentral:rRNA from 1 species
CAGCAGCCGCGGUAAUACGUAGGGUGCAAGCGUUAAUCGGAAUUACUGGGCGUAAAGCGUGCGCAGGCGGUUUCGUAAGACAGAUGUGAAAUCCCCGGGCUUAACCUGGGAACUGCAUUUGUGACUGCGAGGCCAGAGUGUGUCAGAGGGGGGUGGAAUUCCACGUGUAGCAGUGAAAUGCGUAGAUAUGUGGAGGAACACCGAUGGCGAAGGCAGCCCCCUGGGCCAACACUGACGCUCAUGCACGAAAGCAUGGGGAGCAAACAGGAUUAGAUACCCGCGUAGUCCCUGUCUCUUAUAC